AUGAAUAGAGAGACGAUAAUGUCAAAACUGCUAAGAACAGCUCCAUAUUGCAGAUGAGGUUCAAUUCCAUAGAUCAAGUAAAUUUGUUGCCUUUCAUCACUGUGACACAACACACCAUCUUCUUUGGUAUAUGAACAGGUGGUGGUUCUGAAAAAUAUAUUAGAAAGAUUAAUAAGAGCAAAAUUAGUAUACCCUCAAGGGCAACAGCUAAGCAUAAAGAAAUAUGGAAAAAAGAUAUCCGGCCCUAGACGGAGAAGAAUAAAAUAGCAGUCAAUGAUAUAGAUCAAUCAAAUAAAAAGCAUAGUUACAGCACUACAUUAAUGCCCAUCUAUCAACAAAACUUGUAGAAUAAUGUACAUAACAUGUAACCACUACAAAACACAUACUUUUAACUGAAAAUCCCUUAAGAGCAAACUGUAGCAGUAUUGAAGAAUCGUAAAGUUAUCAAGAGUUGAAAGAACAAUUGAACACUUGUCAUUUCCAUUCAAACAAUUCUUCAGCUCUACCAAUAAUGCCAACCAUCCCAAAAGAACAAUUAAUUCACAAAUUUCAACAGUUAAAAUAAUUGAUUCACAAAUUUCAACAGUUAACGGACCUAUCCUUUUCUUUCCUGAAUAAAGACCAAACGCCAGUAGUUCCUCGAUUGUCUAUCGGAUAUGGGACCACAAGAAAUUCAUGAAAUGCAGCAAUAACAAACCUGCUAAAUAACUCCCUCAUUUCCUCAAGUACAGAAAGUGAGUAAUGAACCAUA
rnacentral:lncRNA from 1 species